GUGGUCACGUCGGCAGCACACGUACUAAGAUUGGAGCGACACAGAGACGAUCAUCACGGCACAUGCGCAAAGAUGACACGCAUAUCUGUGAAGUGUUCCAUACAAAA